rnacentral:rRNA from 1 species
AGAGUUUGAUCAUGGCUCAGAUUGAACGCUGGCGGCAGGCCUAACACAUGCAAGUCGAACGGUGACAGGAAGCAGCUUGCUGCUUCGCUGACGAGUGGCGGACGGGCGAGUAAUGUCUGGGAAGCUGCCUGAUGGAGGGGGAUAACUACUGGAAACGGUAGCUAAUACCGCAUAAUGUCGCAAGACCAAAGAGGGGGACCUUCGGGCCUCUUGCCAUCGGAUGUGCCCAGAUGGGAUUAGCUUGUUGGUGGGGUAACGGCUCACCAAGGCGACGAUCCCUAGCUGGUCUGAGAGGAUGACCAGCCACACUGGAACUGAGACACGGUCCAGACUCCUACGGGAGGCAGCAGUGGGGAAUAUUGCACAAUGGGCGCAAGCCUGAUGCAGCCAUGCCGCGUGUAUGAAGAAGGCCUUCGGGUUGUAAAGUACUUUCAGCGGGGAGGAAGGGAGUAAAGUUAAUACCUUUGCUCAUUGACGUUACCCGCAGAAGAAGCACCGGCUAACUCCGUGCCAGCAGCCGCGGUAAUACGGAGGGUGCAAGCGUUAAUCGGAAUUACUGGGCGUAAAGCGCACGCAGGCGGUUUGUUAAGUCAGAUGUGAAAUCCCCGGGCUCAACCUGGGAACUGCAUCUGAUACUGGCAAGCUUGAGUCUCGUAGAGGGGGGUAGAAUUCCAGGUGUAGCGGUGAAAUGCGUAGAGAUCUGGAGGAAUACCGGUGGCGAAGGCGGCCCCCUGGACGAAGACUGACGCUCAGGUGCGAAAGCGUGGGGAGCAAACAGGAUUAGAUACCCUGGUAGUCCACGCCGUAAACGAUGUCGACUUGGAGGUUGUGCCCUUGAGGCGUGGCUUCCGGAGCUAACGCGUUAAGUCGACCGCCUGGGGAGUACGGCCGCAAGGUUAAAACUCAAAUGAAUUGACGGGGGCCUGCACAAGCGGUGGAGCAUGUGGUUUAAUUCGAUGCAACGCGAAGAACCUUACCUGGUCUUGACAUCCACGGAAGUUUUCAGAGAUGAGAAUGUGCCUUCGGGAACCGUGAGACAGGUGCUGCAUGGCUGUCGUCAGCUCGUGUUGUGAAAUGUUGGGUUAAGUCCCGCAACGAGCGCAACCCUUAUCCUUUGUUGCCAGCGGUCCGGCCGGGAACUCAAAGGAGACUGCCAGUGAUAAACUGGAGGAAGGUGGGGAUGACGUCAAGUCAUCAUGGCCCUUACGACCAGGGCUACACACGUGCUACAAUGGCGCAUACAAAGAGAAGCGACCUCGCGAGAGCAAGCGGACCUCAUAAAGUGCGUCGUAGUCCGGAUUGGAGUCUGUAACUCGACUCCAUGAAGUCGGAAUCGCUAGUAAUCGUGGAUCAGAAUGCCACGGUGAAUACGUUCCCGGGCCUUGUACACACCGCCCGUCACACCAUGGGAGUGGGUUGCAAAAGAAGUAGGUAGCUUAACCUUCGGGAGGGCGCUUACCACUUUGUGAUUCAUGACUGGGGUGAAGUCGUAACAAGGUAACCGUAGGGGAACCAGCGGUUG